UAUUAUAUGACAUGCAAGGAUAAAUGUGAUUUUCAGACUCUUUCGUUGGGGGACUUACAGUCUGGUAGGAGACAGAAGACAAGUUGCUAAAUACGCAGGGUAGCCUAUGACAAGAGUUAGUGUGAGGUGUUUGGAGAGGGCAAAAAUCAAUUCUUGCUGCAAGACACAGGAAAUGUUUCACGGAGCAGCCGACUGUGACAGAGGCCUUGAAGACUAUGUACAAUUAAGAAAUCACAAGUACAGCGUAAGUAAUGGCACAGAGAAAGGAAAUUUCAAGCAAUGCCAAUUGGAUGAUAAAUAGCCUGCUCAUGUUACAGUAUGGAUGGUGUCAGGCACAGAUUUCACUUGAAUAUCAGAAUCACCGUGUGUCCAUGGAGACAUUUUAUGAUAAUCCAAUAUGGUCCCUCCUGGCCCUACUGUUAAUCACCGCUUUACAGAACUACCAUUAGUCCCUUGAAGUUAGUUUCCUUGAAGAAUGAAAAAAGAAAGGCUUUGAGUGCUGGUAGAAGUGAGGAGUGAAGGAUGUGAUUGGAUAAAUAGACUGGGAACAGAAUGUAGAUAUUCUUAACACAUUUAAAUGUGAUAAAAUUUAGAUAGCCACAAAAAAAUUACAGAAGGGUUCUCAGCAAGCUACAAAAAUAAUGAAUUGCUAUAUCAGUUAAAGUUCUAAGAAUAGGUUUGGCUCAUAGAGAAUCUGGCUGAUGAUCUAAAAUAAUUAUGGAAUUUUAUGAAUUUAGGUUAAAAGGGGUUUGAGUAGCAGCUUUCAUCAACAGCCUCUGUUAACAAGGAAAAACACUAGCACAGAUGGAUUUGUGCUUGAUACGGCAUGGUACUUUCCAUGCUGCUUUGGCAGAUUAGUGCUUACUGGGUUUUCUUCAUGCUUUUAGCAACAAAAUUACAGAUAGCUGUGGACAUAUUUCAUUUGACUUUUAUUCUAUUGGUUGUUUUUUGGCAGGUACUAUGAGGACAGUGCCAGUAGUAUUUUGUCAUGCAUACAACAGCCAACUGCAUAACUUCUAUGGAAAAGCCAAAUUCCUUAGUGGCAGAAUAUAAAUUCAUGACCUAGGGCACUCACGUAUUUUGUAUCAUAGGUCAACACAUUUUAUUUUCCUCACCAAAUACUUUAAAUAUUUUUCAAAUGUUUCUCAUUUAAGGAUGUAAUAUUUAACAUUAUUUGCUCAUUUUACUUCAACCUUUCAGCUCUGCUAAUAAAAAGUAUAUAUUGAAAGAUGGUGACAUCUGUUAUUCACUGCAAAGAUGCAGCAGACCUCAGACUCCACUGCAUCUACGGGGAUGAAUCUCUCAGCUCAAGCUGCACCAAGCCGCCCCAGGCUCCUCCCUCUCAGGCUCCUCAUUGGCUGGCAGAGCGGUGGGACCUUGGAAUCCUCGCUGCCUCCCUUUGAACCUUGAAAAUGAGGAGAGAGCAAAACGAAUUACAUCCUUAACCGGGAGUUCAAAGAGUUAAAUGUCUAUUUUUGGAGAGGUCGAAUCAGGGCAGCUGCUGGCGACAAAACCUGCCCUUGCUACUGAGCAUGCUCAGCGUCACUUAGAAACCCACAGAAGUUUCAGGAUAUACGUCUCUUCUCUAAGGUUUUAGUGGAUACCACAAGGGGAAGAGCAAAAAGGAAGGGAGAUUUUCAAGAGCUGUAAAACGAGAUGAGGGAGAGGGAACGAGGGAAAUGGGGGAGGAGGGACAAGAGUGUCAACAUAAAGAGUCUGAAAAGAGUAUUGAAUGAAUCUAAAAUGGAGAGAAAAGAAAGUGACAAGUGUGGAGGCCACUGGAAAAAACAAAGUAUCAAAUACUUAGAUAUGAUCUUUGGUGCCGCUGCCCCAACCCCCAUUUUGUUUUUUUCUGUGAUUCCACAUGAAGUCCUAGAACCUAUCAGACAAGUUGUAAUUGAGGAUAUUCCUUUUUGUGGGUUUUUUGUUUUGUUUUGUUGGGGGGGGGGGUGUUUGUUUGUUUUUGGUAAAUAGAAGUCUUCUGUAGUAUAAAAAAUAAUUAUUGGCUAUACUCCCAUCCGUAUGUUUACUUGUCCUGAUAGUAAAAAUCUUCCAACUCCAUAACGGCUAUUUUUAGCAAUGGAGCAUAUUUAUUUACAAUGUAACUAUUAAAUAAACGAGUGCAAGGUUUCAC